AUCUCACUUUGCUUGCCGGCAACCCAACUUCUACGUAAGCUGUAAUGACCUGCAACUAUGCGUAACGAAGUCCGAAAAGCUAUCCAUAAAGGUUUAUGGAAGGCCAAUGACACAAGGGCACGGGAUGCACGAUGGCCUAGGUUAAAUAGAUCUAGAUCUAGGAAGUGUGAGGUGAACGUGGUCCUGAUAUAAAAUUUACUUCGCUCAAGGGGCGUGAGGAAUCACGGGGUUCGGCGUCCUGUGUAAAUAGCCAAGUGCUGAUUGAGUUUCACAUUGCUUGUGCGCAGAGUUUGAUUGAUAAGCCAUAACAAAAAUAAAUAAAUUUAAAUAUAUAUAUAUAUAUAUAUAUAUAUAUAUAGAUAAACACACACACACACACACAUUAUGUGACGUUAGCGGAUGCAAUUUCUGAAAAUCUGGUAGACGAAUUUUGUGUGUGCAAGCACUGUUAGAUUAGUACAGAAUUUGGGUAGAGAGUUCUCCGGAAUUAAACACUUGAAGAGAACAGUGGCUACGAAUGUUUUGGAUCGUGGUUUGUAAACGUGAUCUUUGAAAGAGGAACAAUGCAGAUGCAUAUGCAUUUCUGUUUGGAAUCAAUGACAAGUGGAACAGUUCUUGAGGGAUCUACUGUUCUUCAGAAAUUGCGUCUAGGUGGAGUAAGAUUAGAGAAUACAGUGAUGAAGGCUUGUUGAAGGUGACUUUCAGACGCUGUAGAUGCACUGCAGCGAGUGUAGGGAAGCCAAGCAUCUCAAUCAUGUUCUUUGGGGUUGCAACGGAGCUGCGAUGACUUCUUCUGAUGCGGGAGAGCUCAAGGAAACCAAGUGUCUCGCAGUGCAAAAAGGUGCGAGGAUUUCACAAGUUGGGAAUGAUUGUCGCAUAAGAUAAAUUUGUAGGAUUUGAUAGGCUCGACGAAAAUUCGAAUGUGAAGUGACGUGCUGACGGGCCGCCAUCUCUCAAGAUGCUUGAUGUGCUCCAAAAACCUGGAAAACAAAUGAAUGUGCUUGAAUUUUUUCUCGUUGCAACAACCUUCUUGCAGACUUUCAUGAUGCAA